rfam:Betaproteobacteria bacterium RIFCSPLOWO2_12_FTLL_67_28 rifcsplowo2_12_scaffold_6071, whole genome shotgun sequence.
GGGGGCGACCAGGUUUCGACGUGGGUCGCGAAGCAGCACAGGGCAUGUCGAGGACCAGUCACCUCGUAAAUCCAUCUGGAAACACUUUAAACGCCAACGACGAGCGUUUCGCUCUCGCCGCCUAAUACCGGCGAGACGCUGCACUAGCCUGCUGAUGGGCUAGGCCCCGCAAGGGGUGCAGCGUCAUUUACAUCAGCCUCUCUGCGGGGUCUGGCCGCUUGGCCCCGCGGAUCCGUCGAAGCGGCUGGCUGAGCGUCAGCCUGCCGGUCGGCGGGCGCGAGGCGAGAUCCAAAUGAUCAGGCUAAGCAUGUAGUCCUGGCUGUCUAGGGCUUGCGGACGCGGGUUCGAUUCCCGCCGCCUCCACCA